ensembl:lncRNA
AGGUGCAGCAGCAGAAGUCCACUCACCGAGAUGUGUUAAAAUGGGGAGCUAGAAUUUCACAGCAAAUACAGUGAAAUGAAGAGCACCACUGGGACUUUAUCUUGAAAAAUGAAAUGCAAAGGUCAUAACAGACUUUUAAAGAAAUCUUAUAUUCAACGAAAUAUAGAAUAUUACUGCAGCUAAGCACACAUUCCAUAACCUGAAGAAUGAAGUUGGGUUUUAGCAUCCUUCAGAUCGCAUCAGACUUCCAGCGCAUCACAGAGAGGACCCGUUUCCUAAAAGUAUUUGAGGGUUUCAUCUGUUCCUAAGCAUCAUUUCAAUCUGCCGCUAUGCACAUCUGUUCUCUUUGGAAGCAUUACCUUUAGAAAGAUCUUUUCGUCCACUGUCCCCACCAGUCAAAGCCUUGCUGAGUGGCUGGAGCCGUUGCCAACAUCACUCUCUUUGACUUCCUGCAGCCCUGCGUCUUUGCCCCAUUGUACCACUGAGUGACAACACAGGACAGUCAGCAGAGAUGACCUUACGACACCAAGGGAGCUUGUGUUACACGGGAAGCCAUGUCUGAGUGGGACUCAGUUUUUUAAGUGGCCAAUUCGUGAGUGAAUGUUUCCAUGUUCCGAGGCCUGUGCCUCCCUCUGUGAGCUCAUGCCAGAGGCCCCUGCUAAUUAAUUCAGAUACGAGGAGGCACCCGCAUGGCAACAGGGUGCUACGGGGUUUCGGAGGAAGAGCACCUAUCUUUUUAUUUGUUCCUAAACGUGCCAGUCUGAUCAUAGAAGCAUGCAAAAUUGACUGACGCCCCAUGACUAGUCAAAGACCUUACAUCUAUUCUCUAACCGAGUUCUCCACCAGCACUCUGUGAAACAGGUUAUUACUACUAUUUUCCUACAGAUUAAGAAAUUGGAAGGGUGGAGAUUGAAGUGACUGCCCAAGUGGUGGCCUCAGACUUGAACCCACAACCUUCCAGCUCCCAAAGUCACCCAUGCACGCUCCCUCUACGUUUCUUUUCUCUCUAAGUAUUUUUUUUCUUUUCAGCUGAGCCCUGAGCCCUAUUUCUGAGUGAGACAGCCCCACUGGGAUAUCUCAGGAACUGAAGCUGCUUGAUGGGGUAAUUUUCCUCUGAUAGCCCAUGAGAGACAUUACCGGGGUGAGAAGAGCUACGAGCUACCGAGCACAUGCUCAGUGCCAGGCCCUGUGCUCCUGUUUGUCGAGCACUGUCUUCCAUUUCUUCAGAGGAAGGAGGAGAUGAAUCCCAAACCAAGGAAGUGAAAGAAUCGGAAUAGUCAAGAGCUGUGGGAGCUAACGGAGGAAGCUGCAAAACUGGAAGUGAUGGAGGCGAAGCCCGGGAUUGACAGGGAGUGAACAGGCAGGAGAAGAACAUGGACAGCUCAUGAGCUGAUUGUGGUAACCAGCUUCCAAGAUGGCACCCCACCCCCAGUGAUCCUUGCCCUCUGCCGUUCAGACCCUUCUGUCGUCUCCUUCUGAUACUGAAUCAGAGCUGGUCUGUGUGACCGGUAGAACACGGUGGAUGAGACGGUGUGUGCUUUGUGAGGCUACCUCAUAAAAGACCUUCUGGGGCCACUUGGGUCACUCGUUCUGAAGGAAGCCAACUGCCAUGCUGUGAGUUCACUCGAGCAGCUGUGUGGAGAGGCCUGCAUGGAGAGGAGCCAAGGCCUCCUGCCAACAGCGCUGUGAAUGACUGCUCAUUGCAAAUGGAUCCUCCAGCCCCAGUCAAGCCUUCAGAUGACGGUAGUCCUGCCUGACAUCUGACAGCAACCUCAUGAGAGACCCCCAAGCCAC